CAGUGUUGCACCAUUAUUGCAAAUUGCAAAAUCGUCACUCAUACUAGUCAGUGCGUGGUCUGCUGCUUGUGACUAAACGAUAUUAAAAGUUAAAAAUAGCCGUCAUCGUUGUUCAUCUGAUCCUGAAUCUUUUACAGAGUAUUGCAUCAUAAUUUGACACUAAUACUGGGUAUAUUGGAUGACAAGGAAUAAGGAGAGACACUCGAAAUUGACUGCAAAUUAAUUUCGAAUUCUACUGUUAAACGAACCGUGGCUUCGUCGCUCUGUAUACGAAUCAGUUACUGUUCCUGUUCAGAUCGCUUCCAAUCCCGCAUUCGGUCGAGUGCGGAUCACUUUUUGUAUGUAGAAUUCUUCUCGACUCCUUUGAUCAAAAUGGCUAAAUGGCAGGAAGUAUCACAUGCAAAGGACAACAACCGUCGAGAAUUACUCUUAAAAGGAAAGGAGAUUGCAGAAAGAAUUGCUCUAAGAGGACUUGAUAAAAGAAUUUUUAAUUUGAGCCCUCUCAACUUCCUUGAAAUAUCUGAUGCUGGAAUAGAGGAACUUCCAAGUGAGAUAGGAAAUUUGUCACAUUUGCUAAACCUCACACUUCGUGGGAAUAAGCUUGUAGUUCUACCAGAUUCGAUAGGUAAAUUAACACGCCUACAAUUUCUUGAUGCGUCAAGAAAUUCUAUAGAAAACGUGCCAGACAGUUUGGGAUGUAUCUCAUCCAUUCACACACUAGAUCUGAGCCAAAACAAGCUUAGUGUGAUCCCAGAAAGCUUCAACAAUCUCUCCAAUCUGGCAUACCUUAACUUUUCUCGGAACAGUUUGACAGAUCUGGAUGUGAUGCUCCGUGGAAAUUUGCACCACCUCGGUGAAGUUCUUGCUUCUCACAACCAGAUCGAGACUAUUCCAUCAGGGGUUGGGGGCCUCGAAUCGCUGCGCACUCUAGAUUUGAGCGAAAAUAAGCUGCAGGAGUUUCCAGCAAGACUUUCACUUUGUCCGAAGUUGAAAGAACUCCAUCUCGUCGAAAAUCCCGUCAAGGACAGACGACUGAAAAAAUUGAUUCAGCAAACGAGAGGUACAAAACCGAUUCUAGAAUACAUCGCUGCGCAUGGGAAGAAGGAGGAGGCAGAGGAUGUAUCUGCGAAAUCCGCUAAGAAAGGGAAAAGGAAAAAGAAAUCUUCGCAAUCGAAGGACGAGGAGACGGAGCAGAUUAGGCAGAGGAUUGAGGUCAUGUCCUUCAGGAAUUCCUCAGAUCCGCUUGAAAUCAAAGCAUGUAAAUCCGUUGUGUUUGUACGGCCGUACAUCGCCUGCUGCAUCGUCAGGAAUCUGGAUUUGUCCCUUGGGAACCGCUUCAAACAGUUCAUUAGUGCCCAGACUAAGCUUCACGAUGGCCCGCUCUGUGCGAAGAGGACCACUGCUACCAUAGCAACCCAUGACCUGAAGUGCAUCAAAGGACCUUUGACCUACGAGGGCAAAUCACCAUCUAGCAUUGAGCUCACUCCUCUGGGUAAGACCAAAGCGGUUACUGCAGAAUCCUUGAUGAAACAGCUUAACCAAGAAGCUGAUGAACUCCGCAAAGAACUCAAGAGGAAUACUGUCUCAGGGAUCCAUAAGUACCUCAGCUUGUUGGCCCAUCAAGAGCUCUACCCAACCUUACUGGAUGCCGCUGGUCAUGUGAUCUCUCUUCCACCAAUCACAAAUUCGGAUGUUUCAAAGAUUUCUCGAUCCACAACCGACAUCCUGAUCGAGGUGACCAGCUCGGAGGACCUAGCCUCCUGCAAGAAGGUUUUACAGGCUCUCCUUGCCAAGAUGCUCGAAUUAAACCUAGGAAGCAAAGGAGAAGCAGACGAAGGGGCUGGGGCGGAGUCUACCUCAGAGGACAAGCAGAAUAAGCUUGUGGUUGAACAGGUGAGGGUCGUCAACGAGGACGGCGACCUCAGGGUCAUCUAUCCCUCCAAGACGGAUCUUGAGGAUUUACCAGGGGUGACGGUUAUACGUCAAUAAUGUAAUUAGCACUGGAUAUUUAGGUAGAUAUAUCAGUUAUUGCUUGAAAAAAAAAAUUCAUUACAAAGUGUAAUUUGACGUGUUUUGAAAUAGCCGUUUAAUUAAUGAUAUACCUUAUUUUGUACUUUUUGUGAGUACUCUCAAACGCUAAAAGGAUUAAUGGGUGGGGCACCAUGAUUUUUCUAGAAGUGAAAAUAAAAACAGAAAACAAGAGGAGGAGAAAGAGGAGUAUCAAAUAGUGAAAAUGUAUUACGGUAUUACCGUUGUAUUCAAUUAAGAUAAAAAUGCUACCUUUGCAGUCAUAUUGCCCCCAUGAAGUAUAUACAUUAACCCCCUAUUUGAAGGAAUUCCUUGAAGUGACUUUUUUUCUGUUUCCUAGUUCAUACUACAGUUGCAAUGCUAUCAAGUUAUUUUGGCUUGAGCAGUGCAUGGAGUGGAGUAAGAAAAGAAAAUAAGUGGGGGCCAGACGGACACAAAGGUUGAUUAUUUUAUGGACUUGCCGUUAAGGGUCAUUCGGGACAAGGUCAUUCGAGGUCAUUGUGUGCACCCUUUUAAUUAUAAACUCCUUUAAACACAACUCAUGUUUGCUCAUCAUGAUAGCAAUAAUCUGUAUCAGGGAAAAGGUACAUGGGCUUGCCUUGGGUGAUUUUGCCCAUGAAUUGCUCAAAAGAGCCCUGGUGGGUGUUUCAUAAACCUGGACCAUCCCUUUAACUUACGAACAGCUUUAUAAAACGGCCCCCGGGAAACUUAAAAUGAAGCCCUAGAUAAGCCCCAUUCAUUGUAUCGUUAAAGCUCAUCCAAUGUUGCCGAUUUAGGCAGUAAGUUGUUAAAAGUAGCCCCUAGAAAAUAUUUCUUGUCAUUCAUCUUUACCAUAUUUCAUGGUAUGGCCCCUUGCAUUUGAUUACUUGAUGGUCGCCUGACCAAUAUCCCUUUUGGAACCCAUCCAUUUUCAAUGAAUGACGUUUUCAUUUCUAUUGGAAAGAAUAUAAAGAAGUAGCAAGAAAUGUAACCGGUUUUUAUAAGAGAUUGUCACAUGAAUUUUUCGUCCGAGCCAAUCAAAAUCAUUGCAUGAUGACAUCUGACAUCACUGUGACUUUUCGUGUAUCUUGCAGCUUAAGCAACAUUGCUUGAUAAAGGUGAAAUUUCCAGUCAAAUCUGGUUAUUUAAUAUAAAUGUUCUCACGGCGGCCUUUUCUGCAUACAAGAAAAUGUUGAAUAACAUGGCACCCCUCAUGUGAGGAAAAAAAAAAUGAUCCAACAAGUUCCUCGUCAAUUUUUUUCUUCAGAGCAAAGUGGCCAUUGCAGGUAUUUCAGAUAGUAUUUAAGCUCAUGAUCGUAGAAUGAUGAAUGCUUGAUUGAAUUCCUGAAUAAAAGUUAUAAUUCUUAGUUUCGAAUGAAUUUGGACUGAAGAAUUAAUCCAUCAUACUUGUGCAAUAUGUGUCUGUGUAGUGAGGACAAAUGCAUUAAUUUUGAUUACAACUGAACGUAUUGCACAAUAAUAAUGAUAAUAGCCAAUUUUUAUAAAGCGCUUUUCCCAGAAUGGCUCAAAGCGCGUUACAGCAUAUUAUUACCCCGGUCAUUGGAUUCAUUUCAAUCCCGCACAAAAAGUGCACAAUUUCCACUCCCUGGGGAGCAUUUAGCACCUGGGUCGAGAGUGGCAAAGUGUGGAUUAACGCCUUGCCAAAGGACGCUAGACCGCGGUGGGAUUCGAACACACAACCCUCUGUUUACAAGGCGAGAGUCAGAACCACUACACCACGGCUCUUCCACAAUUAUGAUGAAUUAGUUGGGAGUGCUGUAAAAGCCACUAUUAAUCAUCUCUAUACUAGCAAGAUUUCUGAUUAAAUACACCGUACUGGGCCAGUAUCGAAUUUGAAACUUAAGCCAGAAUUUUUGUUUUUCUCAGUAUUUUGCUUUUAAUAGUCAAAUAGUUUUCCAUCUUUGGCAGUUGCAUUUUUGGUGAAGUAUUUUGCUUAAAUCUAAGUCAGGCGACUACCACACAUAAGCCUGGCUUGUGUGCAGUUUACAAACGUGAUACGGGCAGUCAUUCUGCGCACAGAUGAAUUCAUACAUUGUGUGUUAUUUGGCUUAAACUUUAUGAUGUCACAAUGGUUAUUAAAUAGUAUUUUGCUUAACGUUGGCUUUAUUAAGUAAAAUGCUUAAGAUGUGAUCUGAAUACGAGUUUAAGCAUUCUGCUUUGCUAAGUGAAAUGUUAAGAAAAAUUCUUACAAAAUCAAUACUUCCAAUUGCAUACUGGCCCUGAUGUUUGGUACUGUCUUAAUUUCAAGGCGUUAAAAUGAUUUCGGAGCGACACUAAACAGUGACCAUUCAAAUAUUAGAUUUGGAUUUGAUCCUUGUGGAUUUGAAUUCAAAGAUUCAAAUAUGAAUCCUGUGAGAUUUGAAAAUAUCAUAAGGAAUAAAAUUAUGAAAAUGAACCCAAUGCUCGUCUUGUCACUACUUACAGCCACUCUAUAUUUAAUUUAAAUCCUUGAAAUUCAGAUUGUAAUGUAGCGUAAUGUAGGAAGUCCACCGUAAAUGAAAGUUCAUGUACAAUCAUAGCAACUAUUAUAUCAUGUGACAUGUUAUAUUGCUUUAUCUAAUAAAGAAAAAUGAAUGACACAGUCAAA